rnacentral:rRNA from 1 species
GAUGAACGCUGGCGGCGUGCCUAAUACAUGCAAGUCGAGCGAACAGACGAGGAGCUUGCUCCUCUGACGUUAGCGGCGGACGGGUGAGUAACACGUGGAUAACCUACCUAUAAGACUGGGAUAACUUCGGGAAACCGGAGCUAAUACCGGAUAAUAUAUUGAACCGCAUGGUUCAAUAGUGAAAGACGGUUUUGCUGUCACUUAUAGAUGGAUCCGCGCCACAUUAGCUAGUUGGUAAGGUAACGGCUUACCAAGGCAACGAUGCGUAGCCGACCUGAGAGGGUGAUCGGCCACACUGGAACUGAGACACGGUCCAGACUCCUACGGGAGGCAGCAGUAGGGAAUCUUCCGCAAUGGGCGAAAGCCUGACGGAGCAACGCCGCGUGAGUGAUGAAGGUCUUCGGAUCGUAAAACUCUGUUAUUUGGGAAGAACAAAUGUGUAAGUAACUAUGCACGUCUUGACGGUACCUAAUCAGAAAGCCACGGCUAACUACGUG